rnacentral:lncRNA from 1 species
UAGCAAUGUUUGCAAAGCUUACCGAUGAAAUGUUGUUGCAGUGGCAGAUCCUCGAUGGAAUAUAGCAAUAUGCAAAUAUUACUGCAUUUCAUUGGGAAAAGGUAUGGAGCCGUUCUCUGAACGUACGCAACCUUUUCGCCCUGUAAAUCAACUGGAGCGGCCAGAGCAGUUGCUAAUGGACCGUCAAGAUGAUUUUUUUUUAAAUUAUAAUUACUACCAUCUAUUUUUAUGGCCAAGGACGAACACGCAACUGAGGAGCUCGAAAAACAGAUUCUACAUCCAUUAUCAUCUUCAGAAUUUUUCACAUAAAAAAUCAUUUAUGUCGAGAAUUCUGUUCGUCUUGAGAAAAACAUUUUAAGAAAUUUAUUGGAUUUCUAAAGCCGUUUGAUUAUGAUUUUCUCUUCUUUUUCAUACAUAUUGUAUAUCUUAAUAGC